rnacentral:rRNA from 1 species
AUCGAACGCUGGCGGCAGGCCUAACACAUGCAAGUCGAACGAGUGGCGGACGGGUGAGUAAUGUCGGGGCAACUGCCUGAUGGAGCGGGAUAACUACUGGAAACGGUAGCUAAUACUGCAUACCCUCAGAUUGGCCGAGACGGGUUUAGCUUGUUGGUGGGGGAACGGCUCACCAAGGGGACGAUGCCUAGCUGGUCUGAGAGGAUGACCAGCCACACUGGAACUGAGACACGGUCCAGACUCCUACGGGAGGCAGCAGUGGGGAAGAGUGCACAAUGGGCGCAAGCCUGAUGGAGCAAUGCCGCGUGAAUGAAGAAGGCCUGCGGGUUGGAAAAUACUGUCGGCGGGGAGGCGGUACCCGCACAAGAAGCACCGGCUAACUCCGUACCAGCAGCCGCGGUAAUUC